AAUGACAUUGGUCACUAAAAUUAGAGAUGAAUUUUAAAUAGUUUUAUGGUACAAUAUUAGUAAAUAAAAUUAAAUCAUUAAUUAUUAGUUAUAAAGAUAAAUUUUGAAUAGUUUCAAUGAUCUAUUAUCAUUAUUAAUAUUCAAAGUAACAUCAUUUAUCAUUAGCUAUAGAGAUAACUAAUAGUUUCAUAUGGUCGCAUACGGAUAGUGUCGGAUAUUGUCGAAUACGAACGUGGAAUCGGAUAGAGAAAAUCAGGAAAAACGAAUUCGGAUAUAUCCAUUUCAGUACCACAUUAAAUUUGGAUACGAAUACGGAUAUCUAUAUUUGUCAUUUUAGCGGAUACGGAUUCGGAUAUCCAUUUCCACAUUUCCA
rnacentral:lncRNA from 1 species